rnacentral:rRNA from 1 species
UACGAACCGGACAAACGUUAUUCGGAAUCACUCGGCUUACAGGGUGCGUAGGCGGUCUGGAGGGUGGGGUGUGAAAUCCCUCGGCUCAACCGAGGAAUUGCGCUCCAAACCGGCAGACUUGAGGGAGACAGAGGUGUGCGGAACUGAUGGUGGAGCGGUGAAAUGCGUUGAUAUCAUCAGGAACACCAGUGGCGAAAGCGGCUAACUGGGUCUCUUCUGACGCUGAGGCGCGAAAGCAAGGGGAGCGAACGGG